rnacentral:lncRNA from 1 species
UAUAGUGUGAUGAAUGCCCUGACCCGAGACGUUAUCUGAAUCGUGUCGUCCCUACCGCUAUAGAAAGAAAGAGUGUCGUCCCUACCGCUACAGAAAGAAACAUUAUUCCAUUCCACACUAGUUAAGGUAUAUGUUGCGGGUAUCCGAUCAAUGUGCCAUAUAUUAUUUCACAAGUUCAAGAACUUGACCACCUUAAACCACUUAUUGUAGAUAUCCCCAUUAAACUCUUUUGAGUGGAUCGCACUUUUCCCUUAAAUUAAUUAUUAAUUAUACAACCAAAUAAUAAUUCCAACAAUCACAAAUAACGGGUUUAAAAAAUGAAGAAGUUGCCUUCGUUCUUAUAUAUAUUUUCACUUUUUUUUCGUUCAUAACAUUAUCAUGAUCAUCAUCACAAUCUCAACCAUCACCGAUGCAGUUCCAUCAUACGAGAGAAGUCCUCGAAGCACACGAAUCCGUCCCCGUUCCUGUCCACACCCUCUAUCAUGCGCCGGCACUCCUCUAACGUGCACCGCUCGUCGCCGAUCGCUCUGAACACCCGGAGCAACUCCUCCGCCGAGAUCCUCC